AGUGAACGCUGGCGGUAGGCCUAACACAUGCAAGUCGAACGGCAGCACAGUAAGAGCUUGCUCUUACGGGUGGCGAGUGGCGGACGGGUGAGGAAUACAUCGGAAUCUACUUUUUCGUGGGUGAUAACGUAGGGAAACUUACGCUAAUACCGCAUACUACCUACGGUUGAAAGCAUGGGAUCUUCGGACCUUGCGCGAUUGAAUGAGCCGAUGUCGGAUUAGCUAGUUGGCGGGGUAAAGGCCCACCAAGGCGACGAUCCGUAGCUGGUCUGAGAGGAUGAUCAGCCACACUGGAACUGAGACACGGACCAGAAGCCUACGGGAGGCAGCAGUGGGGAAUAUUGGACAAUGGGCGCAAGCCUGAUCCAGCCAUACCGCGUGGGUGAAGAAGGCCUUCGGGUUGUAAAGCCCUUUUGUUGGGAAAGAAAAGCAGCAGGUUAAUACCCCGCUGUUCUGACGGUACCCAAAGAAUAAGCACCGGCUAACUUCGUG
rnacentral:rRNA from 1 species